GUGUGUGUUUGUGUUAGUGUGUGUGUGUUAGUGUGUGUGUGUGUGUGUGUGUGUGUGUGUGUGUGUCUGUGUGUGUGUGUGUGUGUCUGUGUGUGUGUGUGUGUGUGUGUGUGUGUGUCUGUCUGUGUGUGUGUGUGUGUGUGUGUGUGUGUGUGUCUGUGUGUGUGUGUGUGUGUGUGUGUGUGUGUGUGUGUGUGUGUGUGUGAAUAGGGGGGAGGGUGGUUUGUCACCGGUGAGACAGUGACGAGCAGUGCCCCAGUGUGGUAUUUUCCCAUCAAGGUGCAGAAACAGCUUUGUGGUGUGUGUAAGUGUGUUAGCGUGUGUGUGUGUGUGUGUGUGUGUGUGUUUGUGUGUGUGUGUUAGUGUGUGUGAGUCAGUGUGUGUGUGUGUGUUAGUGUGUGUGUGAGUUAGUGUGUGUGAGUUAGUGUGUGUUAGUGUGUGUGUGAGUUAGUGUGUGUUAGACUGAGAAUGUGUGCCUUGACUCUGGGA
ensembl:lncRNA